ACUUUCUGGGUGUUGCUGAAGGC
rnacentral:miRNA from 1 species